rnacentral:misc_RNA from 1 species
GGCGUAGUGAGUUGAUAGGAAGAAAAUGGCGUCGGGGAUAUUAUCAAGGUCUCUGUCUCUUCUCAAGUCUUCCACUUUCUUACCCUCCACAAAGCAGCCCCAAUUGUUUUCUUCUUCAUUCAAUCAGAAGAAAACAUUCUACUACCAAUCUGCACCAACCUAUUUCUCCUACAAGCUGGUGGCUUCUGUUACAUGUCGCAUGAAUUCAUCAAGGCUCGCAACAUUCUCAACACAAUCUGUUUCCUCUAAUGAACCUGUUGUUUCUGUUGACUGGCUCCACGCAAACCUCAAACAGCCUCAUAUAAAGGUACUGGAUGCAUCUUGGUACAUGCCAAACGAGCAGAGAAAUCCUCUUCAAGAGUAUCAGGUUGCACAUAUUCCUGGAGCACUCUUCUUUGAUGUAGAUGGUAUAUCUGAUCGUACUACAAAUUUGCCUCAUAUGCUGCCAUCUGAAGAAGCAUUUGCUGCUGCUGUAUCUGCUCUUGGAAUUGAGAACAAAGAUGGGGUUGUUGUCUAUGAUGGGAAGGGAAUCUUUAGUGCAG